rnacentral:rRNA from 1 species
GACGAACGCUGGCGGCGUGCUUAACACAUGCAAGUCGAGCGGAGCGGCGAACGGGUGAGUAACGCGUGAGUAACUGCCCCCCUCUCUGGGAUAACAGUUGGAAACGGCUGCUAAUACAGGAGAGUGGGGGAUGGCUCGCGGCCUGUCAGCUUGUUGGUGGGGGUAUGGCCUACCAAGGCGGUGACGGGUAGCCGGCUUGAGAGGGUGGACGGCCACACUGGGCUGGGACACGGCCCAGACUCCUACGGGAGGCAGCAGUGGGGGAUAUUGCACAAUGGGCGAAAGCCUGAUGCAGCGACGCCGCGUGGGGGAUGAAGGCUUUCGGGUUGUAAACCUCCUUCACGCUCACUUGGGUAGGUGGAGAAGAAGCGCCGGCUAACUACGUGCCAGCAGCCGCGGUAAUUC